CUUUGGGUGUGACUGCGUACCUUUUGUAUAAUGGGUCAGCGACUUAUAUUCUGUAGCAAGGUUAACCGAAUAGGGGAGCCGGAGGGAAACCGAGUCUUAACCGGGCGUUAAGUUGCAGGGUAUAGACCCGAAACCCGGUGAUCUAGCCAUGGGCAGGUUGAAGGUUGGGUAACACUAACUGGAGGACCGAACCGACUAAUGUUGAAAAAUUAGCGGAUGACCUGUGGCUGGGGGUGAAAGGCCAAUCAAACCGGGAGAUAGCUGGUUCUCCCCGAAAGCUAUUUAGGUAGCGCCUCGUGAAUUCAUCUCCGGGGGUAGAGCACUGUUUCGGCUAGGGGGCCAUCCCGGCUUACCAACCCGAUGCAAACUGCGAAUACCGGAGAAUGUUAUCACGGGAGACACACGGCGGGUGCUAACGUCCGUCGUGAAGAGGGAAACAACCCAGACCGCCAGCUAAGGUCCCAAAGUCAUGGUUAAGUGGGAAACGAUGUGGGAAGGCCCAGACAGCCAGGAUGUUGGCUUAGAAGCAGCCAUCAUUUAAAGAAAGCGUAAUAGCUCACUGGUCGAGUCGGCCUGCGCGGAAGAUGUAACGGGGCUAAACCAUGCACCGAAG
rnacentral:rRNA from 1 species